rnacentral:rRNA from 1 species
UACGGGGGGGGCAAGCGUUGUUCGGAAUUACUGGGCGUAAAGGGCUCGUAGGUGGCCAACUAAGUCAGACGUGAAAUCCCCAGGCUCAACUUGGGAACUGCGUCUGAUACUGGAUGGCUUGAGUUUGGGAGAGGGAUGCGGAAUUCCAGGUGUAGCGGUGAAAUGCGUAGAUAUCUGGAGGAACACCGGUGGCGAAGGCGGCAUCCUGGACCAACACUGACGCUGAGGGACGAAAGCUAGGGGAGCGAACGGG